rnacentral:rRNA from 1 species
UACGAAGGGGGCUAGCGUUGCUCGGAAUCACUGGGCGUAAAGCGCACGUAGGCGGCUUUUUAAGUCAGGGGUGAAAUCCUGGAGCUCAACUCCAGAACUGCCUUUGAUACUGAGAAGCUUGAGUCCGGGAGAGGUGAGUGGAACUGCGAGUGUAGAGGUGAAAUUCGUAGAUAUUCGCAAGAACACCUGCGGCGAAGGCGGGUUGCUGGGCUGACACUGACGCUGAUGCGCGAAAGCUAGGGGAGCGAACGGG